CAGUCGCCGCGGUAAUACGAAGGGGGCUAGCGUUGCUCGGAAUGACUGGGCGUAAAGGGCGCGUAGGCGGAUUGUUUAGUUAGGCGUGAAAUUCCUGGGCUUAACCUGGGGACUGCGCUUAAUACAGGCAGUCUAGAGUGAGGAAGAGGGUUGUGGAAUUCCCAGUGUAGAGGCGAAAUUCGUAGAUAUUGGGAAGAACACCAGUGGCGAAGGCGACUCACUGGCUCAUUACUGACGCUGAGGCUCGAAAGCGUGGGGAGCAAACAGGAUUAGAUACCCCAGUAGUCCCUGUCUCUUAUAC
rnacentral:rRNA from 1 species